rnacentral:rRNA from 1 species
GGGGAAGGGGGGUCACACCAACCCCUGUGACAUACCACUUGUUGCCUCGGCGGAUCAGCCCGCUCCCGGUAAAACGGGACGGCCCGCCAGAGGACCCCUAAACUCUGUUUCUAUAUGUAACUUCUGAGUAAAACCAUAAAUAAAUCAAAACUUUCAACAACGGAUCUCUUGGUUCUGGCAUCGAUGAAGAACGCAGCAAAAUGCGAUAAGUAAUGUGAAUUGCAAAAUUCAGUGAAUCAUCGAAUCUUUGAACGCACAUUGCGCCCGCCAGUAUUCUGGCGGGCAUGCCUGUUCGAGCGUCAUUUCAACCCUCAAGCACAGCUUGGUGUUGGGACUCGCGUUAAUUCGCGUUCCCCAAAUUGAUUGGCGGUCACGUCGAGCUUCCAUAGCGUAGUAGUAAAACCCUCGUUACUGGUAAUCGUCGCGGCCACGCCGUUAAACCCCAACUUCUGAAUGUUGACCUCGGAUCAGGUAGGAAUACCCGCUGAACUUAAGCAUAUCAAAAGGCGGAGGAA